UACGGAGGGAGCUAGCGUUGUUCGGAAUUACUGGGCGUAAAGCGUACGUAGGCGGUUACUCAAGUCAGAGGUGAAAGCCCGGGGCUCAACCCCGGAACUGCCUUUGGAACUAGGUAGCUAGAAUCUUGGAGAGGUCAGUGGAAUUCCGAGUGUAGAGGUGAAAUUCGUAGAUAUUCGGAAGAACACCAGUGGCGAAGGCGACUGACUGGACAAGUAUUGACGCUGAGGUACGAAAGCGUGGGGAGCAAACAGG
rnacentral:rRNA from 1 species